CUAAGAAUAUUCCGCAAUGGACGAAAGUCUGACGGAGCGACGCCGCGUGAAUGACGAAGGCCGAAAGGUUGUAAAGUUCUUUUGUACCUGAGGAAUAAGUGUGGGAGGGAAUGCCCGCAUGGUGACUGUAGGGUAUGAAUAAGCAACGGCUAAUUACGUGCCAGCAGCCGCGGUAACACGUAAGUUGCAAGCGUUGUUCGGAAUUAUUGGGCGUAAAGGGCAUGUAGGCGGUUUUGAAAGCUUGGUGUGAAAUCCCGGGGCUUAACCCCGGAACUGCAUUGAGAACUACAAGACUAGAAUUACCGAGGGGAAAUCAGAAUUCCAGGUGUAGGGGUGAAAUCUGUAGAUAUCUGGAAGAAUACCAAUGGCGAAGGCAGGUUUCCAGCGGAUAAUUGACGCUGAGGUGCGAAGGUGCGGGGAGCAAACA
rnacentral:rRNA from 1 species